UACGUAGGGACCAAGCGUUGUUCGGAUUUACUGGGCGUAAAGGGCGCGUAGGCGGCGCAGUAAGUCACUUGUGAAAUCUCCGGGCUUAACUCGGAACGGUCAAGUGAUACUGCAGUGCUAGAGUGCGGAAGGGGCAAUCGGAAUUCUUGGUGUAGCGGUGAAAUGCGUAGAUAUCAAGAGGAACACCUGAGGUGAAGACGGGUUGCUGGGCCGACACUGACGCUGAUAGCGCGAAAGCCAGGGGAGCAAACGGG
rnacentral:rRNA from 1 species